AGUCUGACGGAGCAACGCCGCGUGAGUGAUGAAGGUCUUCGGAUUGUAAAGCUCUUUUAAUCGGGAAGAAAGGCCUUGUGUGAUUAAUGCUAGGUUGUGACGGUACCUGAAUAGAAAGCCACGGCUAACUUCGUGCCAGCAGGCGCGGUAAUAA
rnacentral:rRNA from 1 species